ensembl:snoRNA
CAACAUUCAAAAAGAAGGCCUUGGAACAAUACGCUAAUUUAUCUUAAGAAAUUCCCAAGAUCUGGGUGAAUGCUACAGAGAUUGCAGGCAAUCCAAAAGGCUGUGCAACCCAGUGGCCCGGCCUUAUUUCACACCUGCAACAUCU